GCCGGGAUAGCUCAGUUGGUAGAGACGAGGACUGAAAAUUCUCGUGUCAUCAGUUCAAAAACAAG
rnacentral:tRNA from 1 species